UUGACCUCGGAUCAGGUAGGAAUACCCGCUGAACUUAAGCAUAUCAAUAAGCGGAGGAAAAGAAACCAACUGGGAUUGCCUUAGUAACGGCGAGUGAAGCGGCAACAGCUCAAAUUUGAAAUCUGGCCCCUCUGGGUCCGAGUUGUAAUUUGGAGAGGAUGUUUUGGGCACCGCGGCGGUGUAAAUUUCUUGGAACAGAAUGUCAUAGAGGGUGAGAAUCCCGUCUUGGACCACCGUAGGACCCGUGUAAAACUCCUUCGACGAGUCGACUUGUUUGGGAAUGCAGGUCAAAAUGGGUGGUAAAUUUCAUCUAAAGCUAAAUAUUGGCCAGAGACCGAUAGCGCACAAGUAGAGUGAUCGAAAGAUGAAAAGCACUUUGAAAAGAGAGUUAAACAGUAUGUGAAAUUGUUGAAAGGGAAGCGCUGGCAACCAGACUCGUGCGCGGGGUUCCCCCUUGCUUCUGCUUGGGUUACUUCCCCGUGUCCGGGCCAUCAUCAGUUUUGGGGGCCGGUUAAAGGCCCCGGGAAAGUAUCCUCCCCUUCGGGAGAGGACUUAUAGCCCGGGGUGUCAUGCGGCCUCCCGGGACUGAGGAACGCGCUUCGGCGAGGAUGAUGGCGUAAUGGUUGUCAGCGACCCGUCUUGAAACACGGACCAAGGAGUCUAACAUCUAUGCGAGUGUUCGGGUGUCAAACCCUGGCGCGUAAUGAAAGUGAACGGAGGUAGGAAGGCCUGAGCCUGCACUAUCGACCGAUCCUGAUGUCUUCGGAUGGAUUUGAGUAAGAGCAUAGCUGUUGGGACCCGAAAGAUGGUGAACUAUGCGUGAAUAGGGUGAAGCCAGAGGAAACUCUGGUGGAGGCUCGCAGCGGUUCUGACGUGCAAAUCGAUCGUCAAAUUUGCGUAUAGGGGCG
rnacentral:rRNA from 1 species